rnacentral:rRNA from 1 species
GAUGAACGCUGGCGGCGUGCCUAAUACAUGCAAGUCGAGCGAACGGACGAGAAGCUUGCUUCUCUGAUGUUAGCGGCGGACGGGUGAGUAACACGUGGAUAACCUACCUAUAAGACUGGGAUAACUUCGGGAAACCGGAGCUAAUACCGGAUAAUAUUUUGAACCGCAUGGUUCAAAAGUGAAAGGCGGUCUUGCUGUCACUGAUAGAUGGAUCCGCGCUGCAUUAGCUAGUUGGUAAGGUAACGGCUUACCAAGGCAACGGUGCAUAGCCGACCUGAAAGAGUGAUCGGCGACACUGGAACUGAGACACGGUCCAGACGCCUACGGGAGGCAGCAGUAGGGAAUCUUCCGCAAUGGGCGAAGACCUGACGGAGCAACGCCGCGUGAGUGAUGAAGGUCUUCGGAUCGUAAAACUCUGUUAUUAGGGAAGAACAUAUGUGUAAGUAACUGUGCACAUCUUGACGGUACCUAAUCAGAAAGCCACGGCUAACUACGUG